UAAUAAAAGGGGGGGACCUAUUCCCCACUCCCCCCACACAUGGGUGGCAGAGAGGGACCCUAAUUAAUUAUGAAAUAGGGGGCUGUACAUGCCAUUGUCCACACCCCUUAAUAAUAGCAUGCUCCCCCCCCCCCCAGUGCCUAGUAGUCCCCAAUUCCCUAGUUAUGUCACAAAAGUAAAGUCCUUACAUACUUCCUUCCACCCUAAUAAUUGUACCAGGGGCCACACACACCUAAACCCUGUAAAAAAUAAAUCAUACUUAUCAUCAGAACUCUUGUUUCUUGCCAUUCUUUUGUUCUUCAGCCAAAAAAGGCCAAAUAAUAACCAACGCCACUAAUUAAAAUUUAAAAAGGCCGAUUACAAAAAACCCCUCAAGGAAAAAACAAACUUGUAAACCAUCUUCCCUCACCGCAGAAUAAGAGCUGAUAGCGGGGAAUGACUGUAAUGGCUGCCCUGCCCCUAGCGUUAAAUAUUUAGCAGACAUCCCCCCACAUGGCAAUCCCUCCUUUAUAUUAAUAUGUGAGUCGUAUCAACCCACAUAGGAUUUUUAUGUAUCAAUUAAUCUUGUAAAACUUUUUGAAAGUGGCAGCUGCCUAGCAAGCGCUGGUUUGCCGCCAUAUAAUUAAUCCUGGAUUCGUCGAUAUGCCCACUGACAACGCUAGCAAGAUUUUUCUUAUAUCCGAGCCCCGAGUUGAAGUCUAUGGGCACUCAAUUAAUUCUGUUCGGAUUUCAAUCAUCGAGCAGAGUUCGGUACGGCUAAAAUCUGGAAUUAAUUCAGGCCAGUUCGGAGUCUGAAUUACAAAAUCUGGACAUUUCUGAAUCCCAUGAGCAGUGUCCGGAUUGUUUAGUAGACACGUGCAAUUCGUUUCAGUCCAAAUUUAAAUUCGGCCGAAUUUCGGCAAUUCUGGCAUUUGGAUGCUUCUGAAAAGUGGCAAAACAGGAGAGGGAGGGAAAAUUAAGGGAAUGAUGAAAGGAAUUUAACCCUUGCCUUAACCCUAGCCCUAAUCCUACUUGUAACUCUACCCCUAACCCUAAAACUAGGGUUAGGGGUAGAGUUACAAGUGGACAGGGGCGGACUGACCGGUCGGGCACUUCGGACACGGUCCGAGGGCCCGGCGGCAGGGCUGGGUUGGGGACUUCAGCAGAAGGUACCACCGGGUGGCCGGCCCGGUGGCACACUGUGAGG